rnacentral:piRNA from 1 species
UCAGAGAGAAUUGGUUAGUAGAGUCCCA